CGGACGGGUGAGUAACGCGUGGACAACCUACCCCGCACUGGGGGACAACAGCCGGAAACGGCUGCUAAUACCGCAUAUGCGCACGGCCCCGCAUGGGGCCGCGCGGAAAGCGCAUGCGGUGCGGGAUGGGUCCGCGUCUGAUUAGCUUGUUGGCGGGGUAACGGCCCACCAAGGCGACGAUCAGUAGCCGGCCUGAGAGGGUGGACGGCCACAUUGGGACUGAGACACGGCCCAGACUCCUACGGGAGGCAGCAG
rnacentral:rRNA from 1 species